GAUGUGACAGUUUGGCAGUGCAUUGCUAGCUGGCUGUUGAGAACUUGAUAUAUGAACAGUUGCUAGCUGCACUCCACAUUGUUGCAUU
rnacentral:pre_miRNA from 1 species